ACCCAGGUCAGUAUUUUCCCUGUUGAGACCGAAGCAACUGAGGGUUGUACAACACACUCAACUGCUUCUUGAGGCCACUGUAGUUUCCAUGGGCAAAAGCAAACAGUCCUGAGCAAAUCCCACAUGACCUGUUCCAUUCUUGACUCUUCUAUUUACCUUUGUUUUUGAAGAAGCCCAGACACUAAGGCGACAUUCUCAUAAGUAUGUCACUUUAGCUGAGGAGGAAUAAACUACAGUGCUACAGCCAGGUGCCUGAUUCAAUCACAAAAUUAUUCAGACACCUGGGGCAAUGCCCAGCUGGCAGGGCUACCUGUUUGUUUUUCUUUUCAGCUUGUAUUUUGUAUUGUUGCCAGCCUUGUGUUUUAGAAGCAUUGAGGGCACUUAGCAUUUAUUUAGUCUUGGUUCCCACAGUCUUCCACCAGAAGCCCACCCCACGUGUAGGCGCGGGCGUUCAGGCGGGCUGCUGCUUGCUGGGAACCACGUUUCUCAGCCUGACUUGUUCUCUCUCUUCCUCUCCUAGAGGUUCAAAAGUCCAUUUCCAGUAUUUCCCAUAGAAAAGUGCUCCUAAUAUCUGAAAGUAUGCUAUUUUAGGAUGCAAGUAGAUCUUUGUCCUUCCUGCUUGGUGGAGAUGAAUUGGGGCACUGUUCCUGAGCCAGUGGCCUCUGUGAACACUGGAACACUGCCUGGGUGUCCACCCUCAUGUGGAGAAGCCAUGGGGACAGCUGCAGAAGAGAGUACCCACCUGGGCAGGUGAGGUGACCAACGCUGGACAACAUGCUUCCCCGUCCACUUGACUUCUUUGCAUCUUGCACUGAGACACAGCCCUCCAAGGGAAGCAGCAGCAGUGAACUGCUUUGUGGCACGAUGGCCUUCCAUGGAGUCUGAGGAAUUCUUCUGGAAGAUAAGGGGCUGGAAUUCCAAUUCCCAUUGGCACUACCCCAUGCAGGUCUAAUACCACUCAUUGGGCGAUAGUUCUUUGUAUUUCAGUCUGACAAUACCGUAUACAAUAGGCUGCUCGGGCUGCCAUUCAUCCGCCCUUGAAGGGGGAAAUUCCUUGAGGUGCUUCAAAGGGAGUUUACACUGAUAAAUGAGCAUUUCAGGAGGUGUGGGAAGAACGCCUGGUCCACGGGCGCCAUUGUCAGCAUUAGGCUUUUGGGAGAUUGAUGACUGAUGACAAAAACAGGGCAGCACUCGGUGACUUUCUGCUGGUUCUUGAGAAUCCAAAUGAAAGUCCUACCCUGAACCUGCUCUGCAAAGGGGACCCACAUGAGGUCGCUUGGAAAGGGUCCUGACCCACCCACCAUGUCAAGCAAUUAUUUUUCUGGACAGCUUCCUGAUGUCCCCAAGGAGAGAGAGAGCGUGACAGCCAGUGAGGGAAAGCAUGCCACAGGUCCCGCCUGCUAACCUGGCAGGAGGGUGCUUGCAACACCUAAUUUAUCAACGCUUGUUUUCCCUGCUGGAGCCAAGUACACAAAAUCACUCCGCCAACAGAGAAAGAGAAAGGGGAAGCCAUUCUUCACCUUUUUCAGUAAUGUAUUUUUGUUUUGGUCAAUUUCCCAGAUAAAUUAUGGUCUUGUCUCAUUGCUGCAUUGGUGGAAUUCUUGCUAGUGUUAUUUAGUACAUUUUAAAGCUGUGUGAAACCAAAAGGUACUUAAAAAAAAAAAAAAAAGGAAAGUUAACCAAAUUGAAGGGUAAAUUUUUUACAUUGUUCCACUGGCUCCAGUUGGAGCUUAAUCAUCACGACCCUUCCUUCAGUCCACAGCGCCUGCUUCAAGAUGCAGCAGAAGUCAAAAUUGCAAGAGUCUGGAUGUUUUGCUUUCGUGUAACUCAUUAGGCAUUUCCCCCUGUGCUAUGAUAAAUGUCUCUCUCAACCAGAAAUUUUAUCUCACCUGUGUAUGUCCCUAUUUCACUCUGCGGAAUCACUCUCAGGAAAUACAAGCUAAUGAUGUCUGUGGUUCUGAAAUUUCCUUGUUAUUAUUUGUUUAAGACAUUUUUUAAAAAAACCUGUGGACAGCUUAUUAAAAGGAUGCUGAGCAAUGAAAACAUUAUUAGACCAUAUUAUUGUUUAUUGUACCCAGAUGUCGUGCAUUUUACACAUCCCAAAGGAUUAGUAGUAAUGUUGGAUACCAAAAUCUUACUUUUCCUUGCAGAUAUUGAGACUAAAUUUUUCUCAUUAAAAACAAAACAUUUACACUGAACAAAUGGUGCGUGUCCGGGUGAAGCAUCAGGUCUCAAGAAGGCAACACUGCUCAAACGAGACUUAGGACAGAACUGGAGACCAAAACAAAGCUGAGGCUACUGUUGGAAAUACUGGUCUAAAAAAAGGAAGAGUGUGGUAUGCUUGUUUUUUAGUUUUAUAGAAUUUUCCAUUUGGAAAGGAGAGAAAUGCAUACAUCCAAGCUGAAAUAAACCAUUCUAGCAAACAUGCCGAGGAAUAAUUUUCAAGAAUGUUUUGUUUUUAAUGAAAAGGAAAGCAAAUCAAAGAAAACCUGGGUAAGUGUUAAAGAGUACUAAAUUUAUAGUAAGGUUCAGGCAAUCUGCCCACUGCAAUCAGAAAGGUUUGGGCUGUUAGUCAUUUAAGACACACAAUGGGAAAAUAAACAAAGAAGGAGGAAGGGGGAAUGGUAAACUGUAGUUUGGCAGCAAAAUUAGUCCAGCUAGUUCCAUUACAUAUUAAACCAUGUCACAAAGCAAAUAAUUGAAAUAAUGAGGAGCUCAUUUUUUAAAAGAUAUAUAGAGUAGCAUAACAGAAUCAACAAAAAUAAGACUGUUUUAUAUAACAAUUCAAUAGACAAUAAAUAAGCACUCCAUUUGGGGAAAAGAAUCACACAAUAAAUGAUGCUGGGAUGGCUUGUGAGUAAUUUGGAGAAAACUGAUCUAGAAUGAGAGCGAGUAUUCCACAUUCGCCACUCUCUUGUCUUUUGGCUUUCUAUCACCUUGGCCAAUGGAGGAAGACAGCAAAAAACAGGAAGGAGGAAGAGUAUGAAGGGAGUCAUUUCUCCCCGGCACUCCAUGCCAGGUUGCUCCAGAAGGCUGUGUCUCUGUCCUAAGGGCUACAGCUUGGCUUGGGCAGUCUUUCCAUACAACUCUCCAGGUUCGGGAAAUUGCUUACUCAUCUGCCCCUGCAAGUGCAGGGAUGACAAUCACUUCCAGCUGAGCUGAGCCCAGCAUGCUGCAUCAUUCUUUGUUGAUGUCCCUCAACUCCGCUGGCGCUAUCUUGAUUAUCCUUAGGCUUACCUCAGUUCCCCAGUCCUAGUGGGCCUUCUGGUUCCUCCUGGGGCACUGACUGAUCCAGGUGCCCUGGGGUUCAGUCGCUAAGUUUCAGCUUCCUAUGUGAUGGGGUUUGGUUCUGUCCUUGUCUAAAUCUCAUGUUGAAUUGUAAUCCCCAGUGCUGGAGGUGGGGCCUGGUGAGAGGUGACUGGAUCAUGGGGUGGAUUUCUCACGAAUAGUUUAGUGCCGUUCCGUUGGUGCUAUCCUCAUGAUAGUGAGUGAGUUCUUGCAAAAUCUGGUCAUUUAAAAGUGCUCCUGCUUUUGCCAUGUGAUGUGUGACAUGCGUACUCCCGCUUCACCUUCCACCACGAUUGUAAGUUUCCUGAGGCUUCCCCAGAAACUGAGCAGAUGCCAGUAUCAUGCUUCCUGUACAGCCUGAGGAUCCAUGAGCCAAUUAAACCUCUUUUCUCUAUAAAUUAUCCAGUCUCAGGUAUUUUUUAUAGCAAUGCAAGAACAGCCUAAUACUGUGCAAUUUCAGAAUCCCAAGUUUCUCUAUUUACCCAAGACCGGGGGGUGCUCCCGCGGCCUGAUUCAUGCUCACAGACAUGCAAA
rnacentral:lncRNA from 1 species